AGUAAUGCAUGGGGAUCUGCCUGAUGGCGGGGGAUAACUACUGGAAACGGUAGCUAAUACCGCAUAAUGUCUGCGGACCAAAGCGGGGGACCUCCGGGCCUCGCGCCAUCAGAUGAACCCAUAUGGGAUUAGCUUGUAGGUAAGGUAACGGCUUACCUAGGCGACGAUCCCUAGCUGGUCUGAGAGGAUGACCAGCCACACUGGAACUGAGACACGGUCCAG
rnacentral:rRNA from 1 species